AAGAAGAGCUCAGCUGUUAACUCCACCCAAUCCUCUUUGAUGGCAGUAAUAGCACCCCCAGCAAGGGCAAUUAUUUCCUGCUGCAAUAAUCAGGAGGACAGCAUAGAACAGAGGACAGUUGAGCUUGGACUAAAAGGAUGAUUAAGUUUCACUGAACACAGAAUUGGGGGAGGGCCGUUCAAACAAGUGACAUGGCAGGAGCAAAGGUGCUGAGGCAGAAAGCGUGAUGCUGUUUUGGUGUGGCUGGACAGAUGGUUUGUGUGGGCAGACAGUGGGAGAGAAGACUAGAAACCUGUUUCUUCCAUGGCAUGUGCUAGGAACUUUUUCAUUUUAGUUGCUACACUGAAUAAAUAAAUUAAGGAAGGUCGGUAGAAAGAACCCCACAAUGAAAAGCAGGAGACCAAACGUCAGUGUUGUCACCAAUUUUCUGGAGUCCUUCAAAGGAAUCACUGUGGGGCUGUGUUAUUCUUAGCAUUGAAUGGAGGUAAUUGGGCUAGCGCCUACCUAGUCCUAAGGGUUACCAGGGUGAAAUGAAUGAUCUGAAAGAAGACUCUUAGAAAUGUAAAAUUACUUUCCCCCCUAUCAUGAAUUGUUAUGGAUUAAAGUAAAUUUGGAUAUUCCUGGUAGCAA